GACGGAGGAUGCAAGCGUUAUCCGGAAUGAUUGGGCGUAAAGCGUCCGCAGGUGGCAGUUCAAGUCUGCUGUCAAAGACCGGGGCUUAACUUCGGAAAGGCAGUGGAAACUGAACAGCUAGAGUAUGGUAGGGGCAGAGGGAAUUCCUGGUGUAGCGGUGAAAUGCGUAGAUACUGGGAGGAACACCGGUGGCGAAGGCGGCAUCCUGGACCGGCAUUGACGCUGAGGAGCGAAAGCCAGGGGAGCAAACGGG
rnacentral:rRNA from 1 species